rnacentral:rRNA from 1 species
UACGGGGGGUGCAAACGUUGCUCGGAAUUACUGGGCGUAAAGCGUGCGCAGGCGGUUGUGCAAGACAGAUGUGAAAUCCCCGGGCUUAACCUGGGAACUGCAUUUGUGACUGCACGGCUAGAGUGCGGCAGAGGGGGAUGGAAUUCCGCGUGUAGCAGUGAAAUGCGUAGAUAUGCGGAGGAACACCGAUGGCGAAGGCAAUCCCCUGGGCCUGCACUGACGCUCAUGCACGAAAGCGUGGGGAGCAAACAGG